rnacentral:lncRNA from 1 species
GUUUUGUUUUUUUGGGGGGUUUUGUGAGUUUUAAGUUUUUUGUUUUUGUUUUUUCCUUUCCUUAUUUGGCAGCAAUUCCUCCACGACUUGACCCAAUUGAUGGUGGCGAAAUUCGGCAGUUGCAUGCCAAUCCGCAAGAGGAGCCAUUCGAUUUCUGAAGAUUGACAACUUUAUUGAAAGCUUGACGUUCUGCUGAGCUUCUCGUCGACCGUACUGGAAUCUUAGACUUUAACUUAUUGUCCGCCAAGCUCUGCUGUAAUUCACUGGUGACGUUUGGUCUGUUGUCGGAGACGAUUUGCUUGGAAGUUACGACUCUCACGGGAAUCUUCGAGGCCACAACAUUUGCUGGUGGCAAAACAGUCUUCACUGAUGGACGAGAUUCGGACGAGACAUCUGUGCUGAUGGAAUCUUCUGUUUGCGGAAAUGUUCAGUCUCGGCGGCAAAAGGACCAUUUGACACCCUCACCGGGAUUUUGGAUGCUGAGCAUCCCAGUCUUGAUGAUGAGACGGGUCGACCGUAAGUUGGUGAAACGGAAAGACUCCGCCCGUUGGUAACAGACUGGAUUUCGGAUGCAUUUGUCGGUUGCUCGGCUGCAGAACGAUUGGAAGAUGUCGCUGGUGGUAGGGGCUCUGCUAUCGGGAAGCAAGAAUUCUGUUGGAAAGUCAUUCUUGCCGUUUCUGCUGGAGGAUUUCCGAAGUCGCUAGAAGCUUGCUGGAUCACUGAUGGCUUGGAGAUUUCCAUUUUGCUUUCGGCCAACAGUCGAAGGAUUUCCGUGUUCUUGUCUUCAAAUCCAGUCAGGGAUUCGUUGUUUUGCUCCCAUUUCACGUCUAGAGGCUGCCCCCUCGUCUUGUUGGUUUUCGAGCUGACGAAUCUUGUUGUUGGCGAGAGCGAGUUCGAAUUCUAAUUUCGCAACUUGGACCUUCAGGAUCUUAUUAUCGGCCGCAACAUUUCUAUUUUCAGCGAGCUUUCUGAUCAAGGUUUCGGUGAUUUUGCAAUGUUUCCGCCGGUUUCCGCUUUGAAAAAGCAAUAGAGCGCCAACGGCGGUCAAAUUGCAAACUUCAACAUUUUCAAACAAGUUCUACUU